rnacentral:rRNA from 1 species
GACGAACGCUGGCGGCGUGCUUAACACAUGCAAGUCGAGCGGAAAGGCCCCUUCGGGGGUACUCGAGCGGCGAACGGGUGAGUAACACGUGAGUAAUCUGCCCCGGACUUUGGGAUAGCCACCGGAAACGGUGAUUAAUACCGGAUAUGACAUGGCUCCGCAUGGGGUUGUGUGGAAAGUUUUUUCGGUUCGGGAUGUGCUCGCGGCCUAUCAGCUUGAUGGUGGGGUAAUGGCCUACCAUGGCUUCGACGGGUAGCCGGCCUGAGAGGGUGACCGGUCACACUGGGACUGAGACACGGCCCAGACUCCUACGGGAGGCAGCAGUGGGGAAUAUUGGACAAUGGGCGGAAGCCUGAUCCAGCAACGCCGCGUGAGGGAUGACGGCCUUCGGGUUGUAAACCUCUUUCAGCACAGACGAAGCGCAAGUGACGGUAUGUGCAGAAGAAGCACCGGCCAACUACGUGCCAGCCGCCGCCGUAACAC